CCCUUAGAUGUUCUGGGCCGCACACGCGCUACACUGAAGGAGGCAGCGUGUACGCCUGGAUCGAAAGAUUUGGGUAACCCGCGAAUCUCCUUCGUGCUAGGGAUUGAGGUUUGCAAUUAUCCUUCAUGAACGAGGAAUUCCCAGUAAGUGCAAGUCAUAAGCUUGCGCUGACUACGUCCCUGCCCUUUGUACACACCGCCCGUCGCUACUACCGAUUGAAUGAUUUAGUGAGGACUUCGGACUGGGACCGAUGCGGCUUUCGGGCUGCGUCGGUAUUCUGGAAAGAUGUCCAAACUGUAUCAUUUAGAGGAAGUAAAAGUCGUAACA
rnacentral:rRNA from 1 species